rnacentral:rRNA from 1 species
GGAGUCUGGGCCGUAUCUCAGUCCCAAUGUGGCCGAUCACCCUCUCAGGCCGGCUACCGAUCGUCGCCUUGGUGGGCCGUUGCCCCGCCAACUAGCUAAUCGGACGCAAGCUCAUCCCCUGCCGAUAAAUCUUUUGUCAACCCCGGAUGUCCAGGGCCACUAUAUCCGGUAUUACCCGCGCGUUGGCACGGCUAUUCCCGGGCAGGGGGCAGAUUGCUUACGCGUUACUCACCCGUGCGCCGGUCGCCAUCAAUCAAAGCAAGCUCCGAUUAUGCUGCCCCUCGACUUGCAUGUGUUAAGCCUGUAGCUAGCGUUCAUC